UGCCAGCAGCCGCGGUAAUACGGAGGGUGCAAGCGUUGUUCGGAAUUACUGGGCGUAAAGCGCGCGUAGGCGGCUUUUUAAGUCAGAUGUGAAAGUCCACGGCUCAACCGUGGAAGUGCAUUUGAAACUGCAGAGCUAGAGUAUGGUAGAGGGAAGUGGAAUUUCCGGUGUAGCGGUGAAAUGCGUAGAUAUCGGAAGGAACACCGGUGGCGAAGGCGACUUCCUGGGCCAAUACUGACGCUGAGGUGCGAAAGCGUGGGGAGCAAACAGGAUUAGAUA
rnacentral:rRNA from 1 species